rnacentral:rRNA from 1 species
CCUACGGGUGGCUGCAGUGGGGAAUAUUGCACAAUGGGGGAAACCCUGAUGCAGCGACGCCGCGUGAGUGAAGAAGUAAUUCGUUACGUAAAGCUCUAUCAGCAGGGAAGAAAUACUUACCUUACGGUCAGCAGACGGUACCGGAGUAAGAAGCCCCGGCUAACUACGUACCAGCAGCCGCGGUAAUACGUAGGGGGCAAGCUUUAUCCGGAUUUACUGGGUGUAAAGGGAGCGUAGACGGUGCGGCAAGUCUGGAGUGAAAUGCCGGAGCUUAACGGCGGAACUGCUUUGGAAACUGGAGAGCUGGAGUGCGGGAGGGGUAAGCGGAAUUCCUAGUGUAGCGGUGAAAUGCGUAGAUAUUAGGAGGAACACCAGUGGCGAAGGCGGCUUACUGGACUGUAACUGACGUUGAGGCUCGAAAGCGUGGGGAGCAAACAGGAUUAGAUACCCUUGUAGUC